rnacentral:rRNA from 1 species
UACGUAGGGCGCAAGCGUUAUCCGGAAUUAUUUGGGCGUAAAGAGCUCGUAGGCGGUUUGUCGCGUCUGCCGUGAAAGUCCGGGGCUCAACUCCGGAUCUGCGGUGGGUACGGGCAGACUAGAGUGAUGUAGGGGGAGACUGGAAUUCCUGGUGUAGCGGUGAAAUGCGCAGAUAUCAGGAGGAACACCGAUGGCGAAGGCAGGUCUCUGGGCAUUAACUGACGCUGAGGAGCGAAAGCAUGGGGAGCGAACAGG